rnacentral:lncRNA from 1 species
GGAUAAAAUGAGACAAAGGAAGUUCCAUCAAAGAUGGAAGAUGUCAUCCGGCAAAGUCCUUCCUCCAGUCAGCCUCCUUGAAAGAUCAAAGUGGGUGCAACCAGGUUGCGUUCUCAACCUUUCUCAAAAAGUGUGCUUUGCCGCACACACUGCACACACUGCUCUUCCUUAGCCAGUCUCAUAAAAACGUGAGACCAGGCUCUGACUUCUCAGAGGAAGACACAAGACCCUUUAUGAAGAAUAAAACCCGGUAACACGACCACAUGACUUACCACAGUGCACCAUUUUGAAGAAUUAAAACUUUUGCCUGAUA